rnacentral:lncRNA from 1 species
UCGGUCUCAUCAUCUAUGCAUUCUCUGUCAUCACAUUCACAAAAUUUGCCAUAGACCAGUCCACUUCCUCCUGAGUUUACACAUUUACACCUGCCACACUGACAUGUACCUGCACCAGAGCAGAUGAUAUCUUGAGAAUUCUUACACAUUUCAUUGCUUUUCUUCCGUGUAAGAUUGCAAGUAGUUGGAUACUGACAAGCCUCACCAUACCAGCCUUCAUCACAUUUGCACUUCCCACAGUCACACUUUCCAUGGCCUGCACAGACCUUCCCGUCG